rnacentral:lncRNA from 1 species
UGAGGAUUAAUUGAAACAUUGCAAGUACAAUACUCAGCAUAAGGCUCAGAACACAGAACACAUUCCAUAAAUGGUGCUAUGAUUGGUCCUGGGAUAUUGGCUCCUGGUCUGGUUGGCAGUGAAGGCAAGGAAAACAUGUGUGUGGGAUAUGCUGACAGUUUAGGGGAUGUCCUAGAGUUUCCCAUAGUUGUCCCAGUCAGUUUGAUCUUGGUAUUAUGCACUAGGCUGUGUACUGUUUGGCCCCAGUUAAGAUUCCAGGUCUGAGAACAUUUUUGAAGCCCCUAGAUGGAUGGGCUGAGGUGAUGAAAGAGGUAACUUUGAUAUGAACUAUGCCUCAAUAAGUGGGUUCUGCAAACUGGGGAAGGCAGGGCUGAAGCUGACAGCUUUAUAGUUCAAAGAGUGUUUUCCCAAAUAUGAUUUAAUUUAAUUUAACCCUUAUAGCUUGCAUCACCAAAAUUGUCCCCAAAUGAAGAAACAAACUAUGUACCGUCCACUAUGACAGGAGUCAGAAAUACAGUGAUGAGUGCUGGCCCUGUCCCAUGUAAUUUACAGCCUUUUUGGAGAGAGAGGCAGUUUCAGUGACCUCACAAAUACAUGCAGGAGUGUAACUGUGAUGAGUACUGCAAAGGGAAGAGGGCCCUUGUUGCUAAAGGACUUAUAAGAGGAGUUGGCCAUGUCAGAAGGAUCAGGGAAGGCCUUACUGAGGCAUGAGGCUUCCUGGUGUGAAUAGCAGUUAACAGGUGGAGGGAGACCAGGUUCCAGGUGGAGGAAAUAACAUGUGUGUGGGCUCCUUUCCAGAAGAGCUGGAGAGAAGAGAGAUGAAAGGAAGGUGAUGCAGGAUGAAGCUGGAGGAGUAAGAAGGGGUUUGAUGAUAUAGCAGGCCCAGUCAAAGAAUCUUGUCUUUAUCCUAAGAGUCAAGAGAAGUUGCUGAGAAUUUUUAAGCAGGAAAGGGUGAUGAUCAUAUUUAUAUUUUGGAAAGAUCCUCCAACCUGCUCUCUGUGUUAAAACAGUUGAGUUCAUAUAUCUUCUGGCUGCAAUGACAUUUUGUGUUGGUCCUUCCUCUUGAGUGUUGACCAUUUCCCUGUCUUAAUCCCUAACCCAAGGCCUGGUGCUCUUAUAACCUGCUGUGCUCUUCCAUGUUCUCCCUACUAAGAUGAGAGACUCAUCAAUUUCCCUGACAGGUCCCUGAGAUGCCGUCACCAAAGUCUGGUUUCUUAAAUGAUGACCUGGUUAAUACAAACAAGAAUGAAAAAAGACCCCCACAACUAACAUAUAUCGGGCACUUACAAAGAUCAGGUCCUGAGCAGUGCUUUUAACUUUUGUACAGUACUCAUCACAAACCCAUGAAUUAAAUAUUAUUUUGGUAUGAACUGCUAGUUGCCUACCCAGUAUUCAUUCUCCCAUUCACAGAUGUUAAAGACUACAUUUCCCAGCUUUCCUUGCAACUAGGAGUAGCCAAAGAAUAUAAAUAGAAGUUGCUGGGUAAGCUUCAGACAAAGCUCUUUAAUGCUGAUAGGGUGCCUUUUAUUGCUGUGAAAUAUUGGCUGCAGUGUAGACAUGAUAGCUGGAGGGCACCUUGUA